CAUUAUGAGAACGCUGCGCGGAGCAUCCUCAGGCGUGGACUGUUGGACCAGACCCGGAACUUUCCCGGGCUGGGAUCCAUCUGGAAUCUGUUCCGCCCCCCACCCAAGGAAUGAAAUAGGAGACAACUUGGGUUUUCCUCCAUCUAUGGGCCAGGCUCGUCGACGCCCUUCCCAGAGAGCCUACCCUUUCUCUAAAGCCUCGUGAAG
rnacentral:lncRNA from 1 species